CAGCAGCCGCGGUAAUACGUAGGUGGCAAGCGUUGUCCGGAAUUAUUGGGCGUAAAGGGCUCGCAGGCGGUUUCUUAAGUCUGAUGUGAAAGCCCCCGGCUCAACCGGGGAGGGUCAUUGGAAACUGGGAAACUUGAGUGCAGAAGGGGAGAGUGGAAUUCCACGGGUAGCGGUGAAAUGCGUAGAGGUGUGGAGGAACACCAGUGGUGAAGGCGACUCUCUGGUCUGUAACUGACGCUGAGGAGCGAAAGCGUGGGGAGCGAACAGGAUUAGAUACCCCCGUAGUCCCUGUCUCUUAUAC
rnacentral:rRNA from 1 species